rnacentral:rRNA from 2 species
ACGGGAGGCAGCAGUGGGGAAUAUUGCACAAUGGGGGGAACCCUGAUGCAGCAACGCCGCGUGAAGGAAGACGGUCUUCGGAUUGUAAACUUUUGUUCUUAGUGAAGAUAAUGACGGUAGCUAAGGAGGAAGCCACGGCUAACUACGUGCCAGCAGCCGCGGUAAUACGUAGGUGGCAAGCGUUGUCCGGAUUUACUGGGUGUAAAGGGAGCGCAGGCGGGAGAUCAAGUUGGAUGUGAAAUGUCGGGGCUUAACCCCGGAACUGCAUCCAAAACUGAUUUUCUUGAGUGAAGUAGAGGUAGGCGGAAUUCCGAGUGUAGCGGUGAAAUGCGUAGAUAUUCGGAGGAACACCAGUGGCGAAGGCGGCCUACUGGGCUUUAACUGACGCUGAGGCUCGAAAGUGUGGGGAGCAAACAGGAUUAGAUACCCUGGUA